rnacentral:rRNA from 3 species
GCCGACCUUGAAAUACCACCCUUUAAUGUUUGAUGUUCUAACGUGGACCCGUAAUCCGGGUUGCGGACAGUGUCUGGUGGGUAGUUUGACUGGGGCGGUCUCCUCCUAAAGAGUAACGGAGGAGCACGAAGGUUGGCUAAUCCUGGUCGGACAUCAGGAGGUUAGUGCAAUGGCAUAAGCCAGCUUGACUGCGAGCGUGACGGCGCGAGCAGGUGCGAAAGCAGGUCAUAGUGAUCCGGUGGUUCUGAAUGGAAGGGCCAUCGCUCAACGGAUAAAAGGUACUCCGGGGAUAACAGGCUGAUACCGCCCAAGAGUUCAUAUCGACGGCGGUGUUUGGCACCUCGAUGUCGGCUCAUCACAUCCUGGGGCUGAAGUAGGUCCCAAGGGUAUGGCUGUUCGCCAUUUAAAGUGGUACGCGAGCUGGGUUUAGAACGUCGUGAGACAGUUCGGUCCCUAUCUGCCGUGGGCGCUGGAGAACUGAGGGGGGCUGCUCCUAGUACGAGAGGACCGGAGUGGACGCAUCACUGGUGUUCGGGUUGUCAUGCCAAUGGCACUGCCCGGUAGCUAAAUGCGGAAGAGAUAAGUGCUGAAAGCAUCUAAGCACGAAACUUGCCCCGA